rnacentral:lncRNA from 1 species
CUCAACCCGUAGCAUGAUAACCCAAUUCCAAAUCGCGACAGUGACCAACCCAUCUUUUUCGCUUCAUGGAUCCGCACGAGAAUGCUCGAGAAUCUUCUAGAAAGAAGGUUAGGUGUCACCUCUAAUGGAUCAAUUCUGUAAAUCUCGGUAGCAUUGGUACGAUUUAGUACCUAUUUGGUGGCUUUCCAUUGGUUGUGGGAGGGAAUUGGAUUUCCCCGAAUUCUAUUGGUCCACCAAUUCCAAAAUUGGUACGAGUCGCGGAUGAAAAACUAAGGCGAGGGAGAAUUCGAAUUUCAAAUUUCGAAUAUCCUAUUUUGGAAAAUCCUGAAAAUGCCCCAAUUCCAUCGUCUAUAUAAGAAGCCACUUGGUCACUGUUUUAGAGGUUGACGGAGGGAGGGAAAAAAAUUCAUAGGAGAGAAUUAGGGUUCAAAAUUCUGAGGUUAGAAGUUCUAGGGUUCGAAAAUUUCUUUGAAAGUUUUGGGCUUGAGAAGAGGGAAAAGCCAUCUUGAGUGGAUCAUUAAAAAUUUUCUGUUUGAAUUAAAAGUUUCGUUUUCAUAAAAGUUGGAGAUUAAUCGGUGUGUUUCGAGUUGACGACAACGACGAUCUAUGGUGGUG